rnacentral:pre_miRNA from 1 species
UUAGUACUCCCUCCAUCCGAAAAUACUUGUCAUCAAAAUGAAUAAAAGGGAAUGUAUCUAGAUGUAUUUUAGUUUUAGAUACAUUCCUUUUUGUCCAUUUUGAUGACAAGUUUUUUCGGACGGAGGGAGUACCUA